GAUGAACGCUGGCGGCGUGCCUAAUACAUGCAAGUCGAGCGAACAGACGAGGAGCUUGCUCCUCUGACGUUAGCGGCGGACGGGUGAGUAACACGUGGAUAACCUACCUAUAAGACUGGGAUAACUUCGGGAAACCGGAGCUAAUACCGGAUAAUAUAUUGAACCGCAUGGUUCAAUAGUGAAAGACGGUUUUGCUGUCACUUAUAGAUGGAUCCGCGCCGCAUUAGCUAGUUGGUAAGGUAACGGCUUACCAAGGCAACGAUGCGUAGCCGACCUGAGAGGAUGAUCGGCCACACUGGAACUGAGACACGGUCCAGACUCCUACGGGAGGCAGCAGUAGGGAAUAUUCCGCAAUGGGCGAAAGCCUGACGGAGCAACGCCGCGUGAAUGAUGAAGGUCUUCGGAUCGUAAAACUCUGUUAUUAGGGAAGAACAAAUGUGUAAGUAACUAUGCACGUCUUGACGGUACCUAAUCAGAAAGCCACGGCUAACUACGUG
rnacentral:rRNA from 1 species